rnacentral:rRNA from 1 species
AGGGAAUUUUCGGCAAUGGGGGCAACCCUGACCGAGCAAUGCCGCGUGAACGAUGAAGGUCUUCGGACUGUAAAGUUCUGUUAUCAGGAAAGAAUAGCAUGGUGAGGAAAUGCGCCAUGUAUGACGGUACCUGAUGAGGAAGCCCCGGCUAACUAUGUGCCAGCAGCCGCGGUAAUACAUAGGGGGCGAGCGUUAUCCGGAAUUAUUGGGCGUAAAGCGUGCGUAGGCGGUCUGUUAAGUCUGGCGUGAAAUACCACAGCUUAACUGUGGAGGGUCGUUGGAAACUGAUAGACUUGAGUACGGUAGAGGUAAGUGGAAUUCCAAGUGGAGCGGUGGAAUGCGUAGAUAUUUGGAGGAACACCAGUGGCGAAGGCGGCUUACUGGGCCGGAACUGACGCUGAGGCACGAAAGCGUGGGGAGCAAAC